rnacentral:rRNA from 1 species
UACGUAGGGGGCAAGCGUUGUCCGGAAUCAUUGGGCGUAAAGGGCUCGUAGGCGGUCUGUCGCGUCGGGAGUGAAAACUCAGGGCUUAACCCUGAGCCUGCUUCCGAUACGGGCAGACUAGAGGUAUGCAGGGGAGAACGGAAUUCCUGGUGUAGCGGUGGAAUGCGCAGAUAUCAGGAGGAACACCGGUGGCGAAGGCGGUUCUCUGGGCAUUACCUGACGCUGAGGAGCGAAAGUGUGGGGAGCGAACAGG